rnacentral:rRNA from 1 species
UAGGGAAUCUUCGGCAAUGGGGGGAACCCUGACCGAGCAACGCCGCGUGAGUGAAGAAGGUUUUCGGAUCGUAAAGCUCUGUUGUUAAGGAAGAACGAGUGUGAGAAUGGAAAGUUCAUACUGUGACGGUACUUAACCAGAAAGGGACGGCUAACUACGUGCCAGCAGCCGCGGUAAUACGUAGGUCCCGAGCGUUGUCCGGAUUUAUUGGGCGUAAAGCGAGCGCAGGCGGUUAGAUAAGUCUGAAGUUAAAGGCAGUGGCUCAACCAUUGUAGGCUUUGGAAACUGUUUAACUUGAGUGCAGAAGGGGAGAGUGGAAUUCCAUGUGUAACGGUGAAAUGCGUAGAUAUAUGGAGGAACACCGGUGGCGACAGCGGCUCUCUGGUCUGUAACUGACGCUGAGGCUCGAAAGCGUGGGGAGCGAACAGG